rnacentral:misc_RNA from 1 species
GCGGAGGAAAAGAAACCAACAGGGAUUGCCUCAGUAACGGCGAGUGAAGCGGCAACAGCUCAAAUUUGAAAUCUGGCUCUUUCAGGGUCCGAAUUGUAAUUUGCAGAGGAUGCUUUGGGUGCGGGCGCCUUCCGAGUUCCCUGGAACGGGACGCCAUAGAGGGUGAGAGCCCCGUCUGGUAGGAUGCCCAGCCCGUGUAAAGCUCCCUCGACGAGUCGAGUAGUUUGGGAAUGCUGCUCUAAGGGGAGGUAUACUCCUUCCAAAGCUAAAUACCGGCUGGAGACCGAUAGCGCACAAGUAGAGUGAUCGAAAGAUGAAAAGCACUUUGAAAAGAGAGUCAAAUAGCACGUGAAAUUGUUGAAAGGGAAGCGCUCGCUACCAGACUUGGGUACGCGGUUCCGUAGGUGCUCCGCACCUGCGUACUCCUCGUGCCCAGGCCAGCAUCAGUUCUUCGUCGGGUUAAAAGGCUUCGGGAAUGUGGCUCGCCUCGGUGAGUGUUAUAGCCCGUUGCGUCAUGCCCGGUGGGGGACUGAGGUACGCGCUCCGCAAGGAUGCUGGCGUAAUGGUAGCUAGUGACCCGUCUUGAAACACGGACCAAGGAGUCAACCUUAUGUGCAAGUGCCCGGGCGUAAAACCCCAGCGCGGAAUGAAAGUGAACGUAGGUGAGAGCUUCGGCGCAUCACCGACCGAUCCUGAUGUCCUCGGACGGAUUUGAGUGUGAGCAUAUAGGGUUGGACCCGAAAGAAGAUGAACUAUGCGUGUGUAGGGUGAAGCCAGAGGAAACUCUGGUGGAGGCUCGCAGCGGUUCUGACGUGCAAAUCGA